UACAGAGGGUGCAAGCGUUAAUCGGAAUUACUGGGCGUAAAGCGUGCGCAGGCGGUCAUGCAAGACAGGUGUGAAAUCCCCGAGCUCAACUUGGGAACUGCAUUUGUGACUGCAUGACUAGAGUACGGUAGAGGGAGAUGGAAUUCCGCAUGUAGCAGUGAAAUGCGUAGAUAUCGAGAGGAACACCUGCGGCGAAGGCGGGUUGCUGGGCUGAUACUGACGCUGAGGCGCGAAAGCCAGGGGAGCGAACGGG
rnacentral:rRNA from 1 species